rnacentral:tRNA from 1 species
GAGGUUGCGGCUCAGUGGUAGAGUGCUCGCCUGGCAUGUGUGAGGCCCUGGGUUCGAUCCUCAGCACCGCA